rnacentral:rRNA from 1 species
GAGCUCUCAAUCUGUCAAUCCUUCCGGUGUCCGGGCCUGGUGAGAUUUCCCGUGCUGAGUCAAAUUAAGCCGCAGGCUCCACUCCUGGUGGUGCCCUUCCGUCAAUUCCUUUAAGUUUCAGCUUUGCAACCAUACUUCCCCCGGAACUCAAAAACUUUGGUUUCCCGGAAGCUUCCCGUAGAGCCUACAUAGAAAACAGCUACGGAUCGCUAGUCAGCAUUGUUUAUGGUUAGAACUAGGGCGGUAUCUGAUCGCCUUCGAACCUCUAACUUUCGUUCUUGAUUAAUGAAAACACUCUUGGCAAAUGCUUUCGCGGUAGUUAGUCCUCAAACGGUCCAAGAAUUUCACCCCUGUCGUCUGAGUACUGAUGCCCCCGGCCGUCCCUAUUAAUCAUUAAGUCAAUUUCCGAAAACCAAAAAAAUAGAAACGAGUUCCUAUUCCAUUAUUCCAUGCACGAAUAUUCAAGCCUGAAAAGCCUGCUUUGAGCACUCUAAUUUUUUCAAAGUAAACCUGACGGCGCACCGGGACACUCAACGAAGAGCACCCCGGAACCUCCGCCAAUCACACAGCCAAAUGGGGCAGUCACGCUUUGGAGCGAACCGCCCCCUGGCUGCCGAGAUCCAACUACGAGCUUUUUAACCGCAACAACUUUAAUAUACGCUAUUGGAGCUGGAAU